UACGAAGGGGGCUAGCGUUGCUCGGAAUUACUGGGCGUAAAGCGCACGUAGGCGGCUUUCUAAGUCGGGGGUGAAAUCCUGGAGCUCAACUCCGGAACUGCCUUUGAUACUGGCAAGCUAGAGUCCGGAAGAGGUAAGUGGAACUCCUAGUGUAGAGGUGGAAUUCGUAGAUAUUCGCAAGAACACCAGUGGCGAAGGCGGCUCACUGGCCCGGUACUGACGCUGAGGUGCGAAAGCGUGGGGAGCAAACAGG
rnacentral:rRNA from 1 species